AAAAGCUCUGACAAGACUUUGAUCCUUCUUCAAGGCCUGGGAAUAACCUCAGGCAGCCAGGACCUGCUCUGCCUGUGGGGCUCACAGAUUGCAUGAAGUGCAAGGAUGAGCUGAAAGUGUGGCUCUGAAGCAGCAACUGAUGGGACAACUCUGAGGUCAUCUACUUACCCUCGAGGGACUGAGGCAGCUCUCUCUGUGAGAUUGCUGAUAUGCAAC
rnacentral:lncRNA from 1 species